UUCUGGUGCUCUGUGGGAAGGGAAACCAGCAACGUUUGCCCACACAGCACACAGGCUGGUCCACAUGAUGACCGGAAGCCAUCCUUCACCGUGUCCUAACAGAGACACACUGUAUCUCAGAAUAACGAGUCGCCAGCCCUCAAUGUGAUUAACUGCAUCUAACUGAGAACAAAGAAGGGCAAAGCAGCGCUGACCGCAGACCUGUGAGACUGACUUGACUCUUCCAUCCAUGAUUCUCAAGUUCUACAAAAACACACCUCUGGAGCGUUCUUCCAUGGUGCAGACUUGGAGACUUCUGGCUUCACCUACGCACUGUUGGCAAUGACUGAAUUUGGCAAAUGAAACCAAACAAGGCCAAUAAUAAUGGGAAAUGCCAACCCACAGGAGAGCAUUGUCGAUAGGUUUGUGAGAGAGGACCACAGAACAGCAAAAAUGAAUGCAUUUCGAGCCUGUGGUAUUCAGAAGAGUAAGGUCAACUAGCAUGUUUCUCUGAAGCAAUGCCAAAAUGGGACAACAAACUUCAGUUACACUCACAUUCACAGAUAUUAGGGUUAGGUCUUGGACAUGUUUAUUGAGGGUGGGGGCUGAAAUUGGACCGAUGAGGAGUGUGAUGGUUUGUAUAUGCUUGGACCAGGAAGUGGCACCAUCUGAAGGUGUGGCCUUGUUGGAAUAGGUAUGACCUGGUUGGAAUGGGUGUGUCACUGUGGGUGUGGAUAUAAGAUCCUCACCCUAGUUGCCUGGAAGUCAGUCUUCCACUAGCAGCCUUUGGAUGAAGACAUAGAACUCUCAGCUCCUCCUGCGCCAUGCCUGCCUGGAUAUUGCCAUGCUCGCACCUUGAUGAUAAUGGACUGAACCUCUGAACCUGUAAGCCAGCCCCAAUUAAAUGUUGUUUUUCUAUAAGACUUGCCUUGGUCAUGGUGUCUGUUCACAGCAGUAAAACCCUAACUAAGACAGAAGUUGGUACCAGAAGUGGGGUAUUGCUGUGAUAGGCCUGACCAUGCUUUUAUUUGAAAGAAUGCG
rnacentral:lncRNA from 1 species